rnacentral:lncRNA from 1 species
AGCUAUGAACGGAAAGACAAAGAAUAUUUCCGUCACGGCGAGUUAACAGAAUUGGAAAAAGUUUUCAGAGAAUGCAAUUUAAACAACACUACAAUAACAAUACUAGCUAUACAACACAACGCAACACCAGGUA